rnacentral:rRNA from 1 species
UACAGAGGUCUCAAGCGUUGUUCGGAUUGUCAUUGGGCGUAAAGGGUGCGUAGGUGGCGCUGUAAGUCGGGGUGUGAAAUUUCGGAGCUUAACUCCGAAACUGCAUUCGAUACUGCCGUGCUUGAGGACUGGAGAGGAGACUGGAAAUUUACGGUGUAGCGGUGAAAUGCGUAGAUAUCGUAAGGAAGACCAGUGGCGAAGGCGGGUCUCU